GAGCUCGGAUACGGACUAUGAUUCGGAGAUGGAGCGUGCUGUAGCCCAGAAGUUCGGGAGAAAAGCUAGUGCUAGUGGUGGGAAGUUGAGGAGCAGCAAGAGUAGGAAGAGGAGCGAUAGUGAUGAGCUCGACAACGAUGAUGGGUCGGGGAGUGAUGCUAGGGAGAGAAAGAAGAAGGAGAAGAGAGAGAGAGGGAGAUCAAAGAACAGGAAGAGCGCGAAGAGAAGGUACAGCGACUCUGAUGAUGAGGAUUCGAGCAGAAAAAAGAGGAGGAAGGAGAAAAGGAGGAAGAGGGAUGAUGAUGAUUCCUCCGAUGAGGAGGAGGAGGAGGAAGACAAGCGGA
rnacentral:lncRNA from 1 species